CGGGUGAGUAAUGCCUAGGAAUCUGCCUGGUAGUGGGGGAUAACGUUCGGAAACGGACGCUAAUACCGCAUACGUCCUACGGGAGAAAGCAGGGGAUCUUCGGACCUUGCGCUAUUGGAUGAGCCCAAGUCAGAUUAGCUAGUUGGUGAGGUAAUGGCUCACCAAGGCGACGAUCUGUAGCUGGUCUGAGAGGACGACCAGCCACACUGGAACUGAGACACGGUCCAGACUCC
rnacentral:rRNA from 1 species